rnacentral:misc_RNA from 1 species
GGAAGUAAAAGUCGUAACAAGGUUUCCGUAGGUGAACCUGCGGAAGAUCAUUAAAAAAUUCUGCCAUUGUUUGGUGGAAACAAAUCAUCCUACCCUUGUGAAUUUGUUGUUUGUAAUAAUUUUUAAAAGAAAAUAUUUACUGUCUAUCCCUGGAUAGUAAAGUUGAAGGAGUAAUCUAGAAACUUUGCUUUCGGGAAUAGUAUGUAAUAAAUUUUCAUUUAAAGACCUUUUUUUAAAUUAAACUUUUGUAUUCAUUUGUCUAAAAUUAUUUUUAAAUAAUUUAAAACAACUUCUGACAAUGGAUCUUGGUUCUCGCAACGAUGAAGAACGCAGCAAAAUGCGAUAAGUAGUGUGAAUUGCAGAUACGUGAAUCAUCAAAUCUUCGAACGCAUAUUGCACUUUUUAGUUUACUAAAAAGUAGUCUGUUGAGUAUCAGUAAAAUAUUCUCAAUAAACUUUUUGUUUAUUGGUAUGAGUGUUUACAACGAUACAGUGUUUCACUUUAAAUGACUUAUUAAACCUAUCAUUAGGUCAAUUUUAAAUUGGAUAAAAUUUCCUGUAAAAGGGAAUAACUUGACAGUUUUAAGAAGAUCUAAAAGGUUUCUUAAAGGAAUUUAUAAUAAACUAACUUGAUCUCAAAUCAGAUAAGAGUACCCGCUGAACUUAAGCAUAUCAAUAAGCGGAGGAAAGAAACUAACAAGGAUUCCCUAGUAACGGCGAGUGAGCGGGAAGAGCUCAAUUUGAAAUCUUCAAGGGUUCCCUUGACGAAUUGUAGUUAUAGAAGGUUUUCUGUUAGAGAGUGGUAAAGUUCUUUGAAUAGGACAUCAUAGAGGGUGGAAUCCCGUAUUGAUCACUUCUACUAACGUUGUGAUACACUUUCAACGAGUCGGAUGUUUGGGAAUGCAGUCCAAAAUGGUGGUAAAUUCAUCUAAAGCUAAUAUUGGCGAGAGACCGAUAGCGAACAAGUACCGUGAGGAAAGAUGAAAGAACUUGAAAAGAGAGUUAACAGUACGUGAAAUUGUCAAAGGGAGCGUUUGACACCAGUGUUGUUUUCCGAAAAUCAAUUACGAAUGCGGGAUUCUAAGUUUCAUGACCUUAAAGCUGUUCUUUCUUUCCGUCUUUCUUAUGCACUUUCGGUUAACAAGUCACAUCAAUUUCUUUGUUGUAAAAGGUUAAGAGGAAGGUGGCUUACUUCGGGUAAGUGUUUAUAGCCUUUAACUCUGCAAUCGAGAGAUGAGGUCUGCAGCGUAGAUCCUCGGGGCUAGAUACGUUGUGCUAAGUUAUAGCUUUCAUAGACAACUUGUUGACUAUGUUUAGUCUUGUAGCUUACUCGCAGAUGCUAUUUACCUACGCUAGGAUGUGAA